UCCGUCUGUGUUGUUGCCAAGACGUAAUCCAUUUGAUCUUCCUUAUGAUUCAAAUGAGGAAAAACCUGAUCUUAAAGGUGAUAGUUUUCAGCAAGAGUUCUCACCAUUGCAGCAUAGGGAACCACUCUUUCGAAGGCAUGAAAGUUUCAGUGUGGGACCAUCAGUUUUGGGUGGUUUCAGGCAAGAGAGACAGGAUUUUCAAUGGAAACCAUAUUUUGUACCUGAAACCACCCAAAACUGAUGGUCCCA
rnacentral:misc_RNA from 1 species